CUCCUGUAGACCUCUUGCAGAGGAUGUUUGCAUGUUAUAACGGUUUAAACUGAUCACAAUACCUACACGUAUGAUAGUAAUAAGCGACAAUUGCAGAAAUUACUAUUUAUUUCGUUGGAAAUGGAUCAUAUAGAAAUUGGAAGAGAAGGGACUGGGGACGAGUGUGUUGCCAUAACAACCAUAUAAACACGCCAAAUUGUUCACUUCGUUGCAGCCAUUAAGUGUGCCAAGUUUCAGUGAAUUUUAUUAAAUGAUCAUCAAGAUAUCAGAUUUUCUUGUUAUUGCCACUAUUUUGAGUCAAACUAGUGACGUCACAACUCAAAAUAUAGAAAGUGCGAUAACUUGGGAAUGAGAUGAGAUACGAACAAACAGUAAACGUCAUUCUUCAUCAUUUAAGCAGUACCUUUUAAUCAGACAAUAAAAAAUGAGGAAAAAAUUUCGUUUCAUAAGCACUUUAAG